GGCUUUGUAGUGAAGUUCAUAUUGAGUUGCAAACUCAUUGAUGUGCAGUAAAUGUGCACCGAAGCCU
rnacentral:tRNA from 1 species